rnacentral:rRNA from 1 species
GAUGAACGCUGGCGGUAUGCUUAACACAUGCAAGUCGAACGGACUCUUCGGAGUUAGUGGCGGACGGGUGAGUAACGCGUGAGAAUCUGGCUUUGGGUUCGGGACAACCACUGGAAACGGUGGCUAAUACCGGAUGUGCCGAGAGGUAAAAGAGAAAUUGCCUGAAGAUGAGCUCGCGUCUGAUUAGCUAGUUGGUGAGGUAAAGGCUCACCAAGGCAGCGAUCAGUAGCUGGUCUGAGAGGAUGACCAGCCACACUGGGACUGAGACACAGCCCAGACUCCUACGGGAGGCAGCAGUGGGGAAUUUUCCGCAAUGGGCGAAAGCCUGACGGAGCAAUACCGCGUGAGGGAAGAAGGCUCUUGGGUUGUAAACCUCUUUUCUUAGGGAAGAACAAAAUGACGGUACCUAAGGAAUCAGCAUCGGCUAACUCCGUG